rnacentral:tRNA from 1 species
GUCCCUGUAGCGCAAUGGAUAGCACGUUGGAUUUCUAAUCGAAAGGUCGUGGGUUCGAAUCCUACCUGGGAUG